rnacentral:rRNA from 1 species
UACGGGGGGGGCAAGCGUUGUUCGGAAUUACUGGGCGUAAAGGGCUCGUAGGCGGCCACCUAAGUCGGACGUGAAAUCCCCAGGCUCAACCUGGGAACUGCGUCCGAUACUGGAUGGCUUGAAUCCGGGAGAGGGAUGCAGAAUUCCAGGUGUAGCGGUGAAAUGCGUAGAUAUCUGGAGGAAUACCGGUGGCGAAGGCGGCAUCCUGGACCGGCAUUGACGCUGAGGAGCGAAAGCCAGGGGAGCAAACGGG